rnacentral:rRNA from 1 species
UACGUAGGGGGCAAGCGUUGUCCGGAAUUAUUGGGCGUAAAGAGCGUGUAGGCGGCCAGAUAAGUCCGCUGUGAAAUCUCGAGGCUCAACUUCGAGCUGUCGGUGGAAACUAUCUGGCUAGAGUCCGGAAGAGGAGAAUGGAAUUUACGGUGUAGCGGUGAAAUGCGUAGAUAUCGUAAGGAAGACCAGUGGCGAAGGCGGGUCUCUGGACAGUUCCUGACGCUGAGGCACGAAGGCCAGGGGAGCAAACGGG